AUGCCUUUCAUUGUUGAUGUUUCAGGUAUCCAGUUGAUGCUUUCAUGGGAGCCAAAAUCCAGUCUGUAUUGGUUUGGCAUCACUCUAAUUUACGAUAUGGAGCAGAUAUUUUACGCAUCUAAAUCCAAGAAUUUUCUGGUUGGUACUGUUAUGCCUUCAUUGGGACGAGGUCAUAUGUUGUCUGAUGCCUAG